rnacentral:lncRNA from 1 species
UGGACUCCGCCCACGGUACUUGGCUAGUGGAGUAGGCCAAGCGCGAGCUUCAGUGAAAGGAAUUGAAAGUACGAAGAGCCUUUUCAUUGCAAAAUGCGAGCACCUUGAACAACAUCCAUAGUUCUCACGUAAGGCUAAUCUUUGGUUGAGGUACAUGGUCGUUCAGAAGCCCGUCAGGUCUUUCGAAGACCAAGCGACGAGGAAAUAAUCGAAAGUUUCUCACGGUCAAUGGAACGACGGCAUGGAUGCGUGCAUGUACGCACAUCAUUGGGCUGCAUAAGAGCAAUCCAAGACCCAAUAUUGGAUAUAGGAUCCCAGUCAUACGUUACAGUUUGUACUUUUCUUUUCUCUCCUUUUCUUCAAUGGGUCAAGAUGGGAAUGCUUAAGGGCAUCAAGGGAAAGACCUGAAAGAGGAAAGAAAAGGAGAAAAGCUACUUUUCAUAGAAAAUCACUUUGCCAAACACCUUAGGUUGAUCAAACGGGACAUGUGGUCUACAUGUGAAGCCAUGUGCACUGAACCCAUUCUGCUGCUUUGAUGAUAUUGGAGUAUCUGCUCAUCCUGUCACUGGAUCAAAAGCUGUGGAUGUAUGGAAAUUGAAUGAGGGUAAUGUUUUCCACUGCAAGACAACAGAAACAGAUAUGUGCACAAAAUGCUCAAUAUGAAUCAAGUUCCACAAACUGUAAAUUUUCAUACAAACUAAAAAAGAUCUCAUGCUUAUUGUAAGACAUAU